AUUGAAUUCACGUAGCAGGGAAGUAGAAGGAAACCAAAACACAUGAAACCUAUUCCACUUUAAACUUUAAUUCUCCGUAACUUUCAAUCCGAAGUUCUAAUCGUUACACCAUUCGCGACCAUGUGAUCCCAGCGUCAAGUUCUACAAAGCCCAAUACUUAAUUAAUUUGGAUUGUAUAUUUUAGAAACAAAUUGACGGUGUUGAAGACUUGGUAUUGGACUCUAGGGAGGCGGAGACCCGUUUGAUGAGACUUUGAAAAUUUGGGUGUCGUGGAACGGUGACAAAUUGUGACGUUUCGGGUUUUACAGAAAAUUGGUCAAGGUAUGGCCGGAAUGGACGAGAUGGCAGGGUCUGGGUGUGAUCCUGCCUGCGAGUUAACUGAAAACUUUAUCGAGUGGCAAGUUGAGGAGGGAGGAUUCCCUCUCUUGUCGUGAUAUGGAUGUGGAGAAGGUGGAAAGGCACCCUCCUUCGUAUUGUUUUUCCCACAUUCUUUUCUGGUUACAAGGUGGAAAGGCACACUCCUUCUAUGUGAAAAGGCACUCUCCUUCGUAUAUCCUCCAGGAGAAGGUGGAAAGGCAUGUUCCUUCAAUGUGGAAAGGUACCUUAACCAUACUGAGAGAAGCACCACUCUGUAUUCUGAAGACUUUGAUGAAGCGAAGAACUCUUGGGACUCAGGGUUGUAUUUUUUUACUUAUAUUUAUAUAUGUAUUUAGAUUCUCCACCUUGUAUUUUAUGUUUGUCCCUCUUAGAGGUUGGCUUGGAAACAAGUUGUCAGUUUUCUGUUUUGUCUUAAC